CGGGAAGGGCUCCCGGCACUCGGGGCACGCCUUCUCGCUGCGGCCCCAGUCCCGGAUGCAGGCCCCGCAGAAGUUGUGGCCGCAGGGCAGCGUCGCCGGGUCCCGGUAGACCUCCAGGCAGAUGGCGCAGAGCAGCUGCCACUCCCAGCGCCUGCCGGCUGCACUUCUGCCUACGCUUGGCUUCUCUUCCACGUGCCCCCACUCCCCACCCCGGCCGAGCCUCCGAGCCACCGCUGCCUGCCCCCUGCCACCCCAGGCUGGGAGUCGGGGUCCAGCUCUCUCCUGCUGUCCGGUCCCUCUCUAUCUCGCUUCCCUAGACCCUUCAUGUACAGGGGAUCCGGCCCCCGCCGCUAGAGACAAGAACCUUGGGAACCUCAGCGGGCCUGCAGGCCUCCUAGCUGAGGGCCGCCAGGGAACCUCUUCUGGGCCCCUCAUGUGAAAAUAUGAUAAUAAUAAUGGCCAUCACAGACCUCUCUGGGCUCCUCAUCCGAAAAUAAAAAAGCAGCAUCUACCUCGCAGGGGUUUUGGCGAUCAAAUGAGACAGUGCUCGUUGGGAUACCUGGCAGUAUGAGCCCGGGGCACACGGCUAGUGCUCAUUAAAUGCUCUCCUGACCCGAGGUGGUCUGCUGCACGUUUUCUUGAGCUGAGUUUCAGGCAACUGCCAGAUUGGGGUGUCUCCCUUUCCUAGGCUGCAUCUAAUUUCUGUUCUUUUAGAGUAAACAGUGAGGUGGGAAUUUCUGGUCACCAAGAGACAGAGACAAGUGUUUUCUUCAUACACCCGUUUAAGGGAAACCCAGUGCGAUCUCCACCUGUGCCUGGAAUCCCCUCUCGGUGCCGCCCCUCUGCUGGGGAGAGCUCCUUGUUUGCAGGUCUAAGCUGUUCUGGAACCUCACUCUUUAGAGAGGUGGUUCCCCUGCAGCUGAGCAGGCAAGAGGGGGCCUGACAGCAGAGCUGCCUGCCCUGGAGCAGUGUAUGGGGCCAGGGGAAGCUGCAAGACGGUCAAUCUUCCUUUCUUUCUAACUGAGCUGGCCUCACUUUGAGGCAGUGUGCCCCCUCACUGCGAUGCAGCAAGCAUAGUCUUCUGUGAAGAUUCUCUUCCCAGGAAAGGCGCACAGCUCUCCUCACUGACCACUUGGCAGUCUUCCUUUAAAGAGGAUAAUAAAUACCCUAACCAUCCAUCGAGGGCACAGGGGCUUUCUGGGCUCCAAGUAAGGGGAUGUGCCCAGAGGUCUCUCAGACCUGCUGUGGUCUGGCCUCACGGGACUCCUUAUCCAAAGCAUCCCAGCCUGAGGCCAGGAGCCUCCGCCAGGCUGUGAACACCGUGCAAAGGGCCAAUGCUCAGGGCUGUAAAUCUCUUUCAAGAGGCCUGUGGGAGCAGCCCAGGCCCACUGCCUGCUUUCCUUCGGUACCUGUUUUCAGCCACCAGAUCACAGGUCCCCUGAGACCCCCAGGAGGCAGAGAUGAGGGGUCAUCUCCUGGGAUGGGAGGCAGCCCUCUUUCCACGCACGAAGCAAUUCAACUCUACCAGGGGGGGCUCUGGCUGCUCCCGGAUCAAGACCAAGAUCGGCUGCAGCAGAAACCCUUUUUAUUCACAUCGCCAUCUUCACCGCCACCCGCCGAGCCCUCUUCAGUCCUAAGCCCUGGGCCUGAUGGGAGGGCCGCAGAAGGGCUGUCUCAGGCAGGGCCUGGAACCCCACAGCUUGGCCCUGUGGAGCUGUGUCUCUAUUGC